rnacentral:rRNA from 1 species
AGUGAACGCUGGCGGUAGGCCUAACACAUGCAAGUCGAACGGCAGCACAGUAAGAGCUUGCUCUUACGGGUGGCGAGUGGCGGACGGGUGAGGAAUACAUCGGAAUCUACUUUUUCGUGGGGGAUAACGUAGGGAAACUUACGCUAAUACCGCAUACGACCUACGGGUGAAAGCAGGGGAUCUUCGGACCUUGCGCGAUUGAAUGAGCCGAUGUCGGAUUAGCUAGUUGGCGGGGUAAAGGCCCACCAAGGCGACGAUCCGUAGCUGGUCUGAGAGGAUGAUCGGCCACACUGGAACUGAGACACGGUCCAGACUCCUACGGGAGGCAGCAGUAGGGAAUCUUCGGCAAUGGGCGCAAGCCUGACGCAGCCACGCCGCGUGAGUGAUGAAGGCCUUCGGGUCGUAAAGCCCUGUUGUUGGGGAAGAAAAGCUGUAUGUGAAUACGUCGCCGUUUUGACGGUACCUAAAGAAUAAGCCCCGGCUAACUUCGUG